ACACUUUCCAAGUUUCACUCUCUCUCUUAAACUUCUAAACCUAAAACGCUUUACAAACACGCUCUCUCUUCACUCCAGCCUUCCUGCCUGAGAAGAAGAUGGAAGACGGCCGCUCACGGCGGCGCCGCCCCUCUAUUCCGGCAAACGAAACCAAAAUUCCACCUUCCCAUUAACACACUCUCCUAGGUACGAAUCCAAACUCAGAUUCCUCAUUACUUCAUCUCAAAUGCACGAAUCGGGGUCCCCAAACCGAACCCUAGAAUCGAAUAAUAAUAUCAACCAAGCUAGCUCAGAGCGAUUAGACCAAGGAUUCAGCAUAGAUCAACAAGGCGUGAGGGGUCUAAGAGGCGUAUCGAUCAAAACCCAAAAGUAAAACCUUAAAUUUGGUGGUGAUGGAGCGUUACUUCAAACCCAGACGUUAGGGGUUUCAAUCAGCGUAAACAGGAGAAUACAAAAGUGCACUGGAUUAGUCAAGGCGUGAAGAAAUCUACCUGAUCGGAGUUCGUUCGGUGACGUGCUUUCCGGCGACCAAAGAUAAGUUUACUUUCCCUCUCGUCUCUGCUUUGUUUCUCUUCGUUACUAGCUUCGCCUCAUCCACUUCUUUGAUUGCAGUGGUAUGUAUAUGUUGUUGUUGUUCACUGUUGUUGUUAUAUUCUUUUAGGGUAUUGAAAAAAAUAACUUUGUCGUGCGGUUGUUGUUCUUGCUUCUUUGAAACGAACUCUGUUGUGUUUAUGUUAUUCUUGAUUUUGGGAAAAUCUCUUACUGUAAUGUGUUGUUCUUUAGGCUUUUUGAGAAAAAGUUGUUUUUUCUGUUGUUGUGGUUUUGGCUUUUUGAGAAGAAAUCUCUUACUGUGUUGUGUCUCUUUGGAGUUAACAGAGAAAAAAACUUUGAAAAUUUCUUCUGGAUUUUAUAAAACGUGUUACUGUUAAUUAAUUUUGCGGUUUAUAUACAUGAAUGUUGGUUUCUGAGAUAACUUGUUGGAUCCUAUUUCCAGAUUUUGUGGGAUGAUUAAUCUAUGGAUUUAAAGUUGUUUAUUUGGAUAAUGCAGUGUGUUUCUGAGCGCUUCCUUUGAUUCAUUGUGUGAAGUGAUGUUGAUGCUGAUUGAUUGAAAAAGGGGGUUGUUAUUCAACAGGUUUUGGAAAAGUUCUGAAGAGUUGGUUUUGAAUUGGGAACUUCCAAAAGAGACUUAAUAAAAUUAUUUCUGAUGUAACAGAGACUUUUGGAUUAUGAACUUAGGGAUUGCUUGUAACAUGUACAAACUUAAUUUGGAAUUUUUCUUUUUGGACAGUUAUGUAAUUGUUUUGGAUUAUUAGGAAUUUUUGGAUUAGUUAGGAUAUAUUAACCGUAAGAAAAAUUGGGUUAGAUAUGUAACACUUUGGAUCAUUUGCAAAAUUUACAUAAUUUUAAUUUAA